AACAAGGAAGAGAAAUGUCCAUUUUAAAAGAUAGGCAUCGUUUAAAUUGAGGAAUCUCAGAUACUUAAUCUACUCAAUUUCCAACUACUAUUUAUUUUAUGUCUUAUGUAACUAUUUAAGAUUUAUAUAGAUUUUAUUCUGACUAGCAAUAUUUAAAAGAACUAUUUUCCUAAUGAAUCUUCAUUCAUUAUUUUCUUGAAUAUCUUAUAUAUCUAGUUUUUAUAACUUAAGUUAUAUUAGAAUAUAAGAAAAUUAAUUCUAUGUGUAGAUGAAAACUAAUUCUGCAUGUAGAGAGCUAUUUCUCCAUCUUAAUAAAUGAGAAAACAAUGCCAUAUCUGUCUAAAGAAAGAGGCAGAAAUUAAAAUUCAAACUUUUCUCAGACAAUAAACUAAAGUCAAAGAAUAUCUACCUGAAAGAUCCAAAUAUUUCUACUUGUUCAGUUCAAAAGCAACCGUGCCUUCUCAAGACCCUACUGCCUGGAAGGACUACAUACCCAUAUACUAUCCUUUUCUGUGAUAGUAACAGGAAUAAGCAUAAAAGGAGUCUAAGUUCAGGGGACAAUUACUGAUCUUUCUCAUUAGAACACUUCUUCCUAUCGUUUCACCAUAAAGAAAGCUGUACUUAUGAUGUUCUGUCAUUAAAACAGCCUGUUCCUCUCAGGUAAAGCUUUGAUAAUCCAACGGAGAGAAAUAAGGCCAUCUAGAACUGGGGGCUAAUCCAGUAGCAAAGGAUUAUAGCGGCAGCCAAGCCAGACAGAUAAGAGCCCUAGGUAGGCUUGAUUUACUUGUCUGUACUUUGUUGCCAUGUUUGACAGGGAUUAUGCAGUGUGACCAUCAAUAUCAGGCAGCGGUCAUAAACUUCACUGCUUAGAAGCCAAGACAGAUCACAAGUCAAGCUGGCUGCUGUGCUUGAGUGAUACCAGAAAGUGCUCUCAACUGCAAAUGGUUAAAGACCAUGACUUGUCUAAAUGAUACCUUUCCCAUCCGUCAGCAGAAGAGGCAUAGAAUUUUAAGAACAAGUAUAGCCAGAUGCCUCAUUUUCUUAACAAAAAACAAAGUCAUCAUUUAGGUGAACUAAAUUUCCUAAUAUCAAUAACCUGACAAUUAAUUAACUUUCUUUUAAAAACUGUAACCAACCCAUGUUCAACAAUAUUCACCAUAUUACUAUUAAUUAAUCUAUUAAUUAACUAAAGAGCUUUGGUUGCACCACCAAGUUGGCUCCACACUAUUUUUUUGUUUAAAAUAUUGACAUAUCCUAAAUUUAAUUAAGUUAACAAAAACAUUAAUUACAUCAUUUCUUUCUCUUCCGACUCUUCCAUGUCUGCUGCCCUUCAAAUUCACCACCUCUUCCUUUUUAACCAUGGCUGUUGUAUAUACAUAUAAGUGUUGUAUAUACAUAUAAGUGUUUGUUGUAUAUACAUAUGUGUUGUAUAUACAUAUAAGUGUUGUAUGUACAUAUAAGUGUUGUAUGUACAUAUAAGUGUUGUAUAUACAUAUAAGUGUUGUAUAUACAUAUGUGUUGUAUAUACAUAUAAGUGUUGUAUAUACAUAUAAGCGAGUAAGCAUAUAAAUAUAGCCUGUUGCAUACGGUUAGUAUUGCUUGCCUGUAUGCUUCUAGGGCUGAUCAUUACGGGAUUACAAAUGCGAGCUCAUCCCUGCGGAAAAAUAACUCUCCCUCUCUGAGCAGUUGCUGAUCGCUGUAGCUCCUAACCAGAGGGAAAUCCAUGUGAUCCCCCCUGUGUACCCCAGAAUGUCACUCUGCUGCUGGAACUGUUCCAGAACAUCCAGGCAGCCAUUUUGACAUUUCAGAGGUGCGGCUUUUCUAUCAUGGCUAGGCAGCACAAACUCAUAGCAGAAAUCCUGGUCCUCUGGCUCUUACGGUCUGCCUGCCCCCUGUCUUCCACAAGGUUCCCUGAAACUUGUGUGCAGGAGUUGCGUUGUGUUUAUAGAUGCAUCAAUCAGGGCUGGGCACAUAGCUUGGUCAUUGGAGUCAUUUGCUCUCUGCAGUUUGACUAGUUACAGCUAAUGGCCUUCACUCCACAUUCUCCUCCCCCCAAAAAUCAACCAAUACAGCUGUGGUAGAGUCCUUAGAUAUCUCUUCUUGUGCCUGCUUUGAGAUGAGCAAGGCAAAGGAGUGGUGUGACCUGUCAUCCAUUAUUCAGAGGAUACCACCACCACCACCACAACAACAAACCUACGUAACAGUGGUCUGGGUAGAAGGUCCUUGUUGGCUGGUCCAAAGAGCUUAUUAGUAGCAGAUCGUAAAACAUCAUCAGAAUGUAGAACUGCUCAACUCCAGAAGAUGCACACUUAAUGAGCAGGUUAAAAUUCAGGGAAUAAAUGAAAGAAGUGCACAUAUGGCUGCAAGUGGUCCUAGGAAGGGACACAACCAAGUUAGCCAAGACCAGCCACUGGCUUUAAAAUCCCACAGUCAAACCCUAGGAGGAUUUACUUGCUCAUUAAUACUUAGACGUCGUUGAGCAUUUGUUACAUGACAACAGCCUUCAGCACACAUAUAUGGGUUCCAUCUUAAACAAUAAUCACCAAGUCUAAGCCUCAGCAGUUUUGCGGCACAACCCUUGCAAGGGAAAAUAAGUAUACCAAUAUUAUUUUUAAAACUGUGGGCUAAUUUAGCUAUUUGAGUAGUGAGUUUUGUGAAUAGUCUUUGGGCAGUAUUCCGGUUUCAUUUCUGUUGCUGGGAUAUUAAAAUACACUGACAAGCGGCCACGAUGGCGGAGAGGCUUAUUCUGAUUUCAAUCCCAGGCUACGUCCAUUGUCCCAAGGCAAUCACAGGAGUGAUAGCUGGGAGAGCCCUGUCACACACACAUUCAAGAGCAGAGAAGUGAAAGCAGAUGUGUUUGCUUGCUUGCUUGUGUUCAGCUCAGUUCUCCACUCUUAAUACAAUUAAAGGCCCCCUGCUUAGGGAUGGUGCUGUCCACCGUGGUCUGGGUCUUCCCAUAGCAUUAACUUCCUUCAGACAACCCUCCCCACAGACAUGCCCACAGGUCAACCGAGUGUGGGCCAUCCCUCAUUGUGCAUCUCUUCCUAGGUGAAUGCAAGCUAUGUCAAGUUGACAAUUAAGCUAACCCAUG
rnacentral:lncRNA from 1 species